rnacentral:rRNA from 1 species
GUUCAAGUCUUCCCAGGCCCACCACGCUUCGCCUUCGGCUUCGCGUGGCACGCCGUGCUCUGAAAUGAGCGAAGCGUGCCCGGCGAAGCCACUUGGCGAAGACGGGCGUUAUGCAUUCGUCUUCUGGUUACGGGGCCAUAGCUCAGCUGGGAGAGCGCGUGCUUUGCAAGCAUGAGGUCGUCGGUUCGAUCCCGUCUGGCUCCACCAGAUGGUUUGAUCACCGAGGUUGCUCGAAUCGUCGUCCGCGAAACAUCACUUCGCAUCCAUGUCGCAAUCGACGUGGGAUGCGGGUUAUUCGACAUCGUGAAGAGGAGAUCGAUCCGAGUUGGAUCGCGCAAUGGAGCGUCACCGAGCAAUCGGCGGCGGUCGGAAUUUGCGCGGAUCCUUCACUAUCUCCGGGUCAUUUCGGCGCGGGACUGAACGCUGUGAAGCGGGCUGUCCUGUUGUAAAUGACUCUGUUGGCGAGGCUUGACCGCGUCGCCAUCGGUUCGAUCUUACGAAGCAAGCUGGUCUUUCUAAUCAGUGUCCGGCCGUGAUGUCCGCGUCUUCGGGCGUGGUGCACGGCAUACAUUCUGCCGAGUGUGUGGACAUUGAUGAUGAGAGCAAUCAAGUGCCUUAAGGGUGUUCGGUGGAUGCCUUGGCGCUGAGAGGCGAUGAAGGAACGUGCUACGCUGCGAUAAGCCGUGGGG